UACGUAGGGGGCAAGCGUUGUCCGGAAUCAUUGGGCGUAAAGAGCGUGUAGGCGGCCCGGUAAGUCCGCUGUGAAAGUCCAGGGCUCAACCCUGGGAUGCCGGUGGAUACUGUCGGGCUCGAGUCCGGAAGAGGAGUGUGGAAUUCCUGGUGUAGCGGCGAAAUGCGCAGAUAUCAGGAGGAACACCAAUGGCGAAGGCAGCACUCUGGGACGUGACUGACGCUGAGACGCGAAAGCGUGGGGAGCAAACAGG
rnacentral:rRNA from 1 species